rnacentral:rRNA from 1 species
GACGAACCGAGCGAACGUUGUUCGGAAUCACUGGGCUUAAAGGGCGCGUAGGCGGGCCGCAAAGUCCGUGGUGAAAGUCCUCCCAGCUCAACUGGAGAAGUGCCUCGGAUACUGGCGGCCUCGAGGGGGGUAGGGGCGUGCGGAACUUCCGGUGGAGCGGUGAAAUGCGUAGAUAUCGGAAGGAACACCGGUGGCGAAAGCGGCGCCGCUGGACCCCAUCUGACGCUGAGGCGCGAAAGCCAGGG